AAAUGUUUGCCAACACUCUGGUGCCAAAUCAUUGCUAUUUCACGUCCCUUUUUAUUCAGGUUCUAGGACUUGAUUGAUCGGAUCAGACUGAUAGGUAAUGAAGUAUUUGGUUCCUAUUUUGGUGCAAACUAGAAUAAUUCAGCUGACUACUCACCAUUGUACCCCAUUACGUAUAUGGGUACGAUCGGUCCAUUUCAUUAGCUCACAU
rnacentral:snoRNA from 1 species